rnacentral:misc_RNA from 1 species
GAUGAAGAACGCAGCGAAAUGCGAUAAGUAAUGUGAAUUGCAGAAUUCAGUGAAUCAUCGAAUCUUUGAACGCACAUUGCGCCCGUUAGUAUUCUGGCGGGCAUGCCUGUUCGAGCGUCAUUACGCCCCUCAAGUCCCCUGUGGACUUGGUGUUGGGGAUCGGCGAGGCUGGUUUUCCAGCACAGCCGUCCCUUAAAUUAAUUGGCGGUCUCGCCGUGGCCCUCCUCUGCGCAGUAGUAAAACACUCGCAACAGGAGCCCGGCGCGGUCCACUGCCGUAAAACCCCCCAACUUUUUAUAGUUGACCUCGAAUCAGGUAGGACUACCCGCUGAACUUAGGAAUAUCAAUAAGCGGAGGA